rnacentral:rRNA from 1 species
UACGAAGGGGGCUAGCGUUGCUCGGAAUCACUGGGCGUAAAGCGCACGUAGGCGGCUUUCUAAGUCAGGGGUGAAAUCCUGGAGCUCAACUCCAGAACUGCCUUUGAUACUGGAGAGCUCGAGUCCGGAAGAGGUGAGUGGAACUGCGAGUGUGGAGGUGAAAUUCGUAGAUAUUCGCAAGAACACCAGUGGCGAAGGCGGCUCACUGGCCCGAUACUGACGCUGAGGCACGAAAGCGUGGGGAGCAAACAGG